CCUACGGGGGGCAGCAGUGAGGAAUAUUGGUCAAUGGGCGAGAGCCUGAACCAGCCAAGUCGCGUGAGGGAAGACGGUCCUACGGAUUGUAAACCUCUUUUGUCAGGGAGCAAGGAGCGCCACGAGUGGUGCGGCGAGAGUACCUGAAGAAAAAGCAUCGGCUAACUCCGUGCCAGCAGCCGCGGUAAUACGGAGGAUGCGAGCGUUAUCCGGCUUUAUUGGGUUUAAAGGGUGCGUAGGCGGGCAUUUAAGCCGGCGGUCAAAUGUCGGGGCUCAACCCCGGCCUGCCGUCGGAACUGGGUGCCUUGAGUGGGCGAGAAGUAUGCGGAAUGCGUGGUGUAGCGGUGAAAUGCAUAGAUAUCACGCAGAACCCCGAUUGCGAAGGCAGCAUACCGGCGCCCUACUGACGCUGAGGCACGAAAGUGCGGGUAUCGAACAGGAUUAGAUACCCGAGUAGUC
rnacentral:rRNA from 1 species